rnacentral:rRNA from 1 species
GGUUAAUAUUCCCGUACUUGGUGUUACUGCGAAGGGGGGACGGAGAAGGCUAUGUUGGCCGGGCGACGGUUGUCCCGGUUUAAGCGUGUAGGUGUGUGUUCCAGGUAAAUCCGGUUCACUUUAACACUGAGGCGUGACGACGAGGCACUACGGUGCUGAAGCAACAAAUGCCCUGCUUCCAGGAAAAGCCUCUAAGCAUCAGGUAACAUCAAAUCGUACCCCAAACCGACACAGGUGGUCAGGUAGAGAAUACCAAGGCGCUUGAGAGAACUCGGGUGAAGGAACUAGGCAAAAUGGUGCCGUAACUUCGGGAGAAGGCACGCUGACACGUAGGUGAAGUGAUUUACUCAUGGAGCUGAAGUCAGUCGAAGAUACCAGCUGGCUGCAACUGUUUAUUAAAAACACAGCACUGUGCAAACACGAAAGUGGACGUAUACGGUGUGACGCCUGCCCGGUGCCGGAAGGUUAAUUGAUGGGGUCAGCGCAAGCGAAGCUCCUGAUCGAAGCCCCGGUAAACGGCGGCCGUAACUAUAACGGUCCUAAGGUAGCGAAAUUCCUUGUCGGGUAAGUUCCGACCUGCACGAAUGGCGUAAUGAUGGCCAGGCUGUCUCCACCCGAGACUCAGUGAAAUUGAACUCGCUGUGAAGAUGCAGUGUACCCGCGGCAAGACGGAAAGACCCCGUGAACCUUUACUAUAGCUUGACACUGAACAUUGAGCCUUGAUGUGUAGGAUAGGUGGGAGGCUUUGAAGUGUGGACGCCAGUCUGCAUGGAGCCGACCUUGAAAUACCACCCUUUAAUGUUUGAUGUUCUAACGUGGACCCGUAAUCCGGGUUGCGGACAGUGUCUGGUGGGUAGUUUGACUGGGGCGGUCUCCUCCUAAAGAGUAACGGAGGAGCACGAAGGUUGGCUAAUCCUGGUCGGACAUCAGGAGGUUAGUGCAAUGGCAUAAGCCAGCUUGACUGCGAGCGUGACGGCGCGAGCAGGUGCGAAAGCAGGUCAUAGUGAUCCGGUGGUUCUGAAUGGAAGGGCCAUCGCUCAACGGAUAAAAGGUACUCCGGGGAUAACAGGCUGAUACCGCCCAAGAGUUCAUAUCGACGGCGGUGUUUGGCACCUCGAUGUCGGCUCAUCACAUCCUGGGGCUGAAGUAGGUCCCAAGGGUAUGGCUGUUCGCCAUUUAAAGUGGUACGCGAGCUGGGUUUAGAACGUCGUGAGACAGUUCGGUCCCUAUCUGCCGUGGGCGCUGGAGAACUGAGGGGGGCUGCUCCUAGUACGAGAGGACCGGAGUGGACGCAUCACUGGUGUUCGGGUUGUCAUGCCAAUGGCACUGCCCGGUAGCUAAAUGCGGAAGAGAUAAGUGCUGAAAGCAUCUAAGCACGAAACUUGCCCCGAGA